CUAGUCUCAGCACGUCGUUGCUCAUCAACGACACGGCUUUGACAGGCCGUAAC
rfam:Pseudomonas putida S11 PPS11_c43, whole genome shotgun sequence.